AUUGAACGCUGGCGGCAGGCUUAACACAUGCAAGUCGAGCGGAGAUGAGGUGCUUGCACCUUAUCUUAGCGGCGGACGGGUGAGUAAUGCUUAGGAAUCUGCCUAUUAGUGGGGGACAACAUUCCGAAAGGAAUGCUAAUACCGCAUACGCCCUACGGGGGAAAGCAGGGGAUCUUCGGACCUUGCGCUAAUAGAUGAGCCUAAGUCGGAUUAGCUAGUUGGUGGGGUAAAGGCCUACCAAGGCGACGAUCUGUAGCGGGUCUGAGAGGAUGCUCCGCCACACUGGGACUGAGACACGGCCCAGACUCCUACGGGAGGCAGCAGUGGGGAAUAUUGGACAAUGGGCGGAAGCCUGAUCCAGCCAUGCCGCGUGUGUGAAGAAGGCCUUUUGGUUGUAAAGCACUUUAAGCGAGGAGGAGGCUACCUGGAUUAAUACUCUAGGAUAGUGGACGUUACUCGCAGAAUAAGCACCGGCUAACUACGUGCCAGCCGCCGCAGUAAAAC
rnacentral:rRNA from 1 species